rnacentral:rRNA from 1 species
UAGGGAAUCUUCCGCAAUGGGCGAAAGCCUGACGGAGCAACGCCGCGUGAGUGAUGAAGGUCUUCGGAUCGUAAAACUCUGUUAUUAGGGAAGAACAAAUGUGUAAGUAACUAUGCACGUCUUGACGGUACCUAAUCAGAAAGCCACGGCUAACUACGUGCCAGCAGCCGCGGUAAUACGUAGGUGGCAAGCGUUAUCCGGAAUUAUUGGGCGUAAAGCGCGCGUAGGCGGUUUUUUAAGUCUGAUGUGAAAGCCCACGGCUCAACCGUGGAGGGUCAUUGGAAACUGGAAAACUUGGGUGCAGAAGAGGAAAGGGGAAUUCCAUGUGUAGCGGUGAAAUGCGCAGAGAUAUGGAGGAACACCAGUGGCGAAGGCGACUUUCUGGUCUGUAACUGACGCUGAUGUGCGAAAGCGUGGGGAUCAAACAGG